GUACGUGCUCAAUGAACCGAGAUAUAUUACAGCAGAUACUUCAACUCCCUUUCCAUCCUCAUACAUCCUUUCAGUAUUUAAAAACACUUUUCAUCUUCAACUACACUUGUGUGUAUUAUAAAUAAAAAGAAAAAAAGAGAGAAAUAGAAUUGUUUGAUAUGAGCUGUGUCGUAGAUAAAGACACAAAUCCGAGACAAUUUUUUAGCGUGCGAAGAAACCUCAUCUGUUCUUAAGAAAUAUAAUAGGUCAAUGAAACUUAAAACCUCUUGAAGAGCAACAUGAGUCAAGAUAGGAAGCCACAUAGGAGAAUGACACGAAAGAGUGAUAAAAAAAACUUGACUUUUUAAAUUGUUUUAACAUAACCUUUUUAUGAUAUAAGAUUUAUUGAUGAAAUCAAUUUUAUCAACUUGGCUCGUGAUCUAAUUACAUAAUAUAAAAGCAAAUUGCUCUAAAAAAAAUUUUAAUACUGAAGAAUAAGUCAGACGGAUAUUAAACAUGUGUCACAAAACUAUGUAUCCGGCUAAAAGACUAUAAAACGAUGCAUCAAUAAAAUAUUUACAGACUAAUUAUUCAUAAAAUAUGGAUUGAAUGGAAGAAAAAUAAUAACCUGUAGGUUUUGGAGACCAUAUACCAGGCCUAAAAAUUGGGUGCGUCACAUCUGAAGGUUUUUCAUAAGGUGAAACUAACAUGUUGCUGAGCACUCAAUAAAUCUGAGCGAGUCUAUUAGACAGCGGUACAUUGGUAAUACAUAGAGACAGGAAGCCAGUCCUGCUAUGUUGCUACCGGAACCGACACCCUUUCACAAGCAGACCAUACGUAUUUUGAAUUUCUUUGGUAAUAUCUAAAGAAUGAUAUAACAAUACUUUGACAGCAAAUCAAUUCAAUGACAAAGGUGUUAAAAGAAUAUUUACAUAAAUAUUCAUUCAAUAAUAUCGCUAAAUAUCGUAAUGGUUACUUAAUAAUUCAAAUUUACUAAAAAUGCGUAAUCCCACGCUAGCGUCUGAGAUUCAAUCCUUGAGAUUGCUUUCCAAACAUACUUAAUAAGAUGCAAGCGUUUGACGUAACACUUUCACCCCUCAAGCUGUUCUUUUGGAAUGGACAUCGGCCUCAAUAUGCUACGCAAAUUUAUCUGUCUUAUGUAUACACUGAUAGAGAAUUUAUUUAUUACAAUCACAAUUUAUUAAUAUUA